AUACGUAGGGGGCAAGCGUUUAUCCGGGAAUCACUGGGCGUAAAGGGUGCGUUAGGUGGCUUAUCAAGCCAGGGGUGAAAGGCAUUGGCUCAACCAAUGUAAGCCUUUGGAACUGAUAGGCUUGAGUGCAGGAGAGGUAAGUGGAAUUCCUAGUGUAGAGGUGAAAUUCGUAGAUAUUAGGAGGAACACCAGUGGCGAAGGCGACUUACUGGACUGUAACUGACACUGAGGCACGAAAGCGUGGGUAGC
rnacentral:rRNA from 1 species